rnacentral:rRNA from 1 species
AGAGUUUGAUCCUGGCUCAGAACGAACGCUGGCGGCAGGCCUAACACAUGCAAGUCGAACGCUCGUAGCAAUACGGGAGUGGCGCACGGGUGAGUAACGCGUGGGCACCUACCCGGUGGUCCGGGAUAACCGCGGGAAACUGCGGCUAAUACCGAAUACGCCCUUAGGGGGAAAGAUUUAUCGCCAUCGGAUGGGCCCGCGUCGGAUUAGCUAGUUGGUGUGGUAACGGCGCACCAAGGCGACGAUCCGUAGCUGGUCUGAGAGGAUGAUCAGCCACACUGGGACUGAGACACGGCCCAGACUCCUACGGGAGGCAGCAGUGGGGAAUAUUGGACAAUGGGGGCAACCCUGAUCCAGCCAUGCCGCGUGAGUGAUGAAGGCCUUCGGGUUGUAAAGCUCUUUUGGCGGGGACGAUGAUGACGGUACCCGCAGAAUAAGCCCCGGCUAACUUC